GAAAUGCGAUGAGUAAUGUGAAUUGCAGAAUUCAGUGAAUCAUCGAAUCUUUGAACGCACAUUGCGCCCGCCAGUAUUCUGGCGGGCAUGCCUGUCCGAGCGUCAUUUCAACCAUCAAGCCCCCGGGCUUGUGUUGGGGACCUGCGGCUGCCCGCAGGCCCUGAAAACCAGUGGCGGGCUCGCUGUCACACCGAGCGUAGUAGCAAUCACCUCGCUCAGGGCGUGCUGCGGGUUCCGGCCGUUAAACAGCCUUACAAAACCCAAGGUUGACCUCGGAUCAGGUAGGAAGACCCGCUGAACUUAAGC
rnacentral:misc_RNA from 1 species